rnacentral:rRNA from 1 species
UACGUAGGUGGCAAGCGUUGUUCGGAUUUAUUGGGCGUAAAGGGCGCGUAGGCGGUUUCUUAAGUUUGGAGUGACAGUGGGUGGCUUAACUACCCAAGGCCUCUGAAAACUGGGGAACUUGAGGACCAGAGAGGGACAUAGAAUUCCGGGUGGAGUGGUGAAAUGCGUAGAUAUCCGGAGGAAUACCAAAGGCGAAGGCAGUGUCCUGGAGGGUGACUGACGCUGAGGCGCGAAAGCUAGGGGAGCGAACAGG